AUUUUGAAAUUGCUCACCUUAAAUACACAAUGCGUGCAUGUGAAGUUUAUCAUCGAAUAAUCAACCUCUUCAUUAGUAAAUUAACGUUUAAGUUUGUUUUUAAUUUAGUUCACAAAUGAAUCAACCAACUUUUUAUGCCCUUUUGAUAUGAAAUUACAAAGCAAUGUUAACUAUAUUUUGUGUAUAUUUUUUUUUUCAUUCUUUUGAGAUGUAUUAUUCAUUUAUAUCAUAGGUGAUGAAGAAUUAAACAAAUUUAAUACCGCUUUGGAUGAUAAGUUCAUGUUGAUGACAAGUACUAUUGAUGAUACUAACUGUUCCUCAUCUGCUCUAAUGUUGCAGGUAUAUACAUUAUGCAACUGUUAAUAUCCAUAACCAAUGCAGGUUUUUAAGCACUCACACAGGUUUGUAUUUCAGUGAAAAAAAUCUAGGAAAAACAAAGGGAGGUUGAACCCAUCUACAUAGUGAAUCGAAAGAAAAAUUAAACUCAAUAGCUAGAGAAUGAAAACUGGUCUGAUGAAAAAAAAGAAAUGAACACAUAUAAGUGGCUUGAAUGGAAGAUGCAAUUCCAACACCUAUCAAUCAGUUACAACCGUAUAAAAAGGCAGUAAAACUUCAAGUCCUGUGUACAAUGUGGAGAGCGAGAAUUCCAGAAACGACCGAUAAAUAUAUAGGCCUGCGCUGUAUACUGGUUGAUGAAAAGCAACGCAGGAGUCUGACUUCCUUCAGCAACGCGCGGGUCACAUUUUCUAGUUUCUUACGAAAUAACAAUGUUAAACAAUUAGAACAAUAAUUAAAGCAAACCCAUCUUUAAAGGGGCCCGUGAUUAUAAAAUACUUCUCAUUUACGCAUUAGCACUUGCAAAAAGGCUGAAAUACGGAUAUUAAAAUCCAAAUCGAAUCGGAUCUUGUCAAUUUUCGGGUCGACGAUGUGUGACAUGUGUCCCAUUACGCAAGCACCAGGCACCGGCAAUAGAAGCUUCAGGCUUCCAGCCCAGUGGAAGAAGAAACCGUUGCUUUUCCGCCGUUAAUUCAAAAGUGCCUCGCAGAGUCUUCCAAAACAUGGACAUGGAUAUCGACGAAACAGCCAAAGGUACGCCCUUUCUCCAAAACGCCGCGUUUUACCAUUCUCGGUCGUAUAAAUUAUAAGUUCUGUGAUUAAAACUAGUAGGUUCCAAAUCAUAAAUAAUAUUGAGAAAAAUAUAUCUUCGUUGUUGCGUUGGGGAAUCGAACACAGGUUCUAGUAUAAUGCCUUGCGAAUAACGACAAAACAUGUUUGAAAAUAUAUGACCGUUUGAAUUUCAAAGGAUGUUACGGUUGGAUUUUCUGCAAAUUCAAGGGAAGGGGUUUUCUUUCCGAUUGGGCCUUUUCAAUUAAGAACAUUAACCAACAAAACAUGCUUCUGGGUUAUAAUUUCAUCAAUCUUGCAACUGAUAUGAUCAAUUUGAAUGGUUAUUCCGCUGCGCUGUUUCAUAAAUUGGAUCUGUGCAAGGAAUGUUUGAUAAAUUGCAAAGUUUUAUUCUUUCCUGCUUAAAAGUCCUUCUCCAUAUUGAGUCGAGGGUUUAUGUUCGGUCUUAAAGGAUAAGACUUUGAAAUAACAAAAAAAAAAAAAAAAAACUAUAUGGAUUCAAUUGAAUUGAAACUCUUCUGCUAAAUUUUUUAUCUUGGGUGAUUUGAUCAUGUGUUAUCUGCAAUUAUUUUGAAAUCUGCAGAAUACUAAUGCACCUUUAUGUUUUCUGUUAAACCAUGAAUGAUGGUUAUCAUGCAUGAGACAUCUCCUGCCGUCGAUUUGGAGCUUGAGAAAGUCCUUGGUGAUAUGCCACAGAAAAGUUUUGAAUUCCACAGGAUGACUGAUGCACGAGAACCACUUGAUACUGCUCCUGGAAUAACAGUGAUGGAUUCACUUAAGAGGGUGUUGAGACUUCCAUCUGUUUGUUCAAAGCGCUUCUUGGCAUCCAAAGUAGACAGGUGUGUUACAGGUCUUGUAGCACAGCAGCAAACUGUUGGGCCGUUGCAAAUUCCUCUCUCUGUUGUUGCAGUAAUAGCGCAGACUUUUACUGACAUGACUGGAGGUGCAUGUGCCAUUGGGGAGUAGCCAAUCAAAGGUUUGUUGGAUCCAAAAGCAAUGGCGAGAUUGGCUGUUGGAGAAGCACUCACAAAUCUUGUUUGGGCAAAGGUCACUUCUCUAUCUGAUGUUAAAGACAGCGGGAAUUGGAUGUAUGCAACCAAGCUUGAUGGGGAAGAAGCAGCUAUGUAUGAUGCUGCUACAGCUCUUUCAGUGGCAAUGAUUGAACUUGGUAUUGCAAUUGAUUGUGGGAAGGACAGUCUUUCCAUGGCAGCCCAUGUUGCAGGCGAGGUUGUUAAGGCACCUGGCAAUCUUGUAAUGAGUGUUUAUUGCACUUGUCCAGACAUUGAGGAUGUUCCUUAUCUGAAAACAGAGAUGACGGAAUACUACCUGUGAGGAAAUUUGAAUCCAAAGCUAAAUAUUCGAGAUUUACAAGCUUUUUCCAGUAAAUAGAAUCAAUCGAACCAUUAAACAUA